rnacentral:antisense_RNA from 1 species
AAGUUUUAUCAGCUAGUUCAUGCUUGCGUUGAAAGAGUGGUCGUUUACGCUGGGUCAUCACUGUGUAGUAUUGGGGAUACUUAGGUGAGAAAAAAACUUAACGCUAGAGACGUUCACGCACUAGUGGAGAAGCCAGGAUUGUUGCCCUAGAGUUACAGUAGAUAAAAGUACCUGAGAGAACUGCGGGGGCUCCCAACCUGGACGCUUGCACCGGAGUAUUAAAUCCAGCUAGAGAAUGGCAUGUGCAAAGAUACAGAGCCACAGUCAGAUGGGCAGCUGAAGGUGAUGAUGAUGAUCUUGACACCGAGAAGCAGAAGACCAAUGAAGAUGACCAGACAGCAAAAAAGGAUAAGUUAAAAGAAGGUAAAAGAAGGCCACUCGUACUUGCUGUCUCAGUAUCUAAAGGUGGUCACCUUCCAGUAGAGAGGCCCACCCACUGCAGACAGUGCCACCGAAGGUGACAUGCACUUUCUGCCACCCAUCCAAAACUGUAACGUGAAUCUGCAACAGGAGAGGAAAGAAGAACCAAAACUUCCAAGGCCUUGCAUUUUUUCUUAAAAGCAUUUUUUUUUUUUUUUUUUGGAGA